AAUGCCGUUCAUUCUCCCUCUUAGAUGGAGCAUGUGGAUACGGAAGGUUUUGGAUUGGAGUAGAGCCCACUACCUCCUUUCUUUUAGAAACUCUAGAAUUCCUCUCUCUUUUCUUUUUUACUCCCUCCACCAUCACUUCAUCACUCUUAUUUUUUUCGACUUCCACACUUUCUUUAUUUUCUACUUCACCAUUUUUUUCAUUUUUUUCAACUUCUUCCUCACUCCACUCCCCAACUUCACCAUCAAUGCUAUCCUCUAUUUUUU
rnacentral:lncRNA from 1 species